rnacentral:misc_RNA from 1 species
UCCGGUUUGUCACCGGCAGUCUCGCAUGAGUCCCCAACUAAAUGCUGGCAACAUGCGACGGGGGUUGCGCUCGUUGCGGGACUUAACCCAACAUCUCACGACACGAGCUGACGACAGCCAUGCACCACCUGUGAUCCUGCCCCGAAGGGAAACCGUGUUUCCACGGUGAUCAGGAACAUGUCAAACCCAGGUAAGGUUCUUCGCGUUUCGUCGAAUUAAACCACAUGCUCCGCUGCUUGUGCGGGUCCCCGUCAAUUCCUUUGAGUUUUAGCCUUGCGGCCGUACUCCCCAGGCGGGGCACUUAAUGCGUUAGCUGCGGCACGGCGGGAGUCGACACCCGCCACACCUAGUGCCCAUCGUUUACGGCGUGGACUAC